UCGGUUCUUUGUAUGAAAUGAAAUAGCGAGUUAAUUAUGUUUGAAGUACAAGCAGAAAUGCAGAAUUCUUCUUCCGAUUGGUUAUGUGAUGUCACUCUCUCAGAUGUUGCAAGUCCAUGGCGUGUUGUCCCGUUGUGAUACUCAAGACGGAGCACCAUGACAGUUGACAGGUCAACAAAAUAUUUUAUCGAGGGAGCAGCGAAAAUGAUGAUAGACCCUGUCUGACUCUGGUUUUUCAAACUAAACCCAUUAAUAUUCAAAACCAUUUCUGGACUCGAAGAUUAUUCCAGUGUUCUCACAUACCUAGGAAGACGAUGAACAAGAAAGUUGUUAUACUUGUAUUGUGCGCACCCCCCCCCCCCAUUUUAAGCUUGGUGGACUGUCAGAAGAACUAUUGUCAUACCAAUCAAAGUGUAUCUAUAGACAGUAGUAAAAAGUUAGACAGUAGUAAAAAGUUGAAGUUGUUUAUUCUCAAGAAACUCCAAUUUGUUCUAAAACAGACUUGCAUCAAUGAACAUUCAUUGUUUAGAAUACAUUCUACAAUCAUCAAACAUAUCCAAUGGAAACUAGAGAGACAAGUAUGCAAUAUAAGAAAGUAUACAAUUUGCUUUUUCUUGAAAUAUAUAAUUGUAAUAAAAAGUUCUAUGAAUUA